rnacentral:lncRNA from 1 species
UGUUGAGCAGCCAGUUAGGGUUUUGAACAAGAUGAUGUCAGUGGUCGGAAUGGUAGUAUCGAACAAAAUGUAGAAAUCGGUGGUGGUGGCCGUCGAUAGGCUCUUCCAUAACAAGCUCUACAAUCGAUACUUCAAAUGCACAUCCAUAUUCAUGGCACACGACGAAACAAAUCAGUGCAAUAUCGGCGAUCGACACGCUUGAGGCGCGAGGUGCACUAAGGCCAGGCCUCAGCGUAAGUUUAUGAGAACGAAGGGGGUAUUAUAAGAUCAUAAGAUUUCAAGGUAUAUGACAAGAUGAGGCUAAUAAGGAUGAGGAGAAUGAAGACAUGGAUGAUAUGACAAGUUACAUUUUAUUUAGCAAAAUGAAUUACUUCUUUUGGUGCCUGAGUGCCCCUUCUCUUCAGUCCUCUCUGCUUCUCGUUGCCGCCCUUUCUUUGCUAGACCGUCACUAGCACAUUAUUUGGUAGUCGCUGCCCCACCGGUGUGUAGUUGAUUACUUGAAGAAGGCGGUUGGGUGCCUGCAGUUCUGGCAUCGUAGAACGCUUAAAACUAAAGUGGAAGGUAGCAUGGAGAGGCCCACUUAGAAGAAUUUCCAAGUUUGAUCAGGGGCCCCGAGGUCGUUGACAAAAAUAAAGAGAUUUCUUCUCGCAACAAAUUCCUUGGCUUGCUGAGUAGACAUGAUGUUUUCUUUAGUUGAGCGAGAUACCAAGGGUUGUCAUUGAUUAACCAAAGUCGACUUAAUUGAAACUGAUUGGUUAUCAUUGAUAAAUAUGAUGACACUGCAACGUAAAUUUUGCUUGCUCUAUGGCUCAAAUCAUUUGGCUAUGAAGACAUUCAUUUUGCAAUUGCGGA